rnacentral:misc_RNA from 1 species
UAAUAGCCCUGAUUGAGCGGUAUGUCUGAGCUCUUUUUUAGUUUCGGCGGCGGCUUUGCCGCCGCCGAAACUAAAAAAGCGAGUAGCGAAAGCAGGUUCCCGG